UACGGGGGGAGCAAACGUUGUUCGGAAUCACUGGGCGUAAAGGGUGCGUAGGCGGGCUUUUAAGUCAGCGGUGAAAUCUCCGGGCUCAACCCGGAAAUUGCCGUUGAUACUAUUAGUCUUGAAUUAAGUUGAGGUGGGCGGAAUAAGUCAUGUAGCGGUGAAAUGCUUAGAUAUGACUUAGAACACCGAUUGCGAAGGCAGCUCGCUAAACUUAUAUUGACGCUGAGGCACGAAAGCGUGGGGAUCAAACAGG
rnacentral:rRNA from 1 species